rnacentral:rRNA from 1 species
UGGGUAAUCUGCCCUUGGCACCGGGAUAGCCCGAGGAAACUCGGAUUAAUACCGGAUGGCCUCUCGCGCUCUCGAGCGCGAAAGAAAAGGUGGCUUCGGCUUCUGGCCGAGGAUGAGCCCGCGGCCGAUUAGCUUGUUGGUGAGGUAAUGGCUCACCAAGGCUACGAUCGGUAGCUGGUCUGAGAGGACGAUCAGCCACACUGGGACUGAGACACGGCCCAGACUCCGUACGGGG